rnacentral:rRNA from 1 species
GGGUUGUGAGGUUAAGCGACUAAGCGUACACGGUGGAUGCCCUGGCAGUCAGAGGCGAUGAAGGACGUGCUAAUCUGCGAUAAGCGUCGGUAAGGUGAUAUGAACCGUUAUAACCGGCGAUUUCCGAAUGGGGAAACCCAGUGUGUUUCGACACACUAUCAUUAACUGAAUCCAUAGGUUAAUGAGGCGAACCGGGGGAACUGAAACAUCUAAGUACCCCGAGGAAAAGAAAUCAACCGAGAUUCCCCCAGUAGCGGCGAGCGAACGGGGAGCAGCCCAGAGCCUGAAUCAGUGUGUGUGUUAGUGGAAGCGUCUGGAAAGGCGCGCGAUACAGGGUGACAGCCCCGUACACAAAAAUGCACAUGCUGUGAGCUCGAUGAGUAGGGCGGGACACGUGGUAUCCUGUCUGAAUAUGGGGGGACCAUCCUCCAAGGCUAAAUACUCCUGACUGACCGAUAGUGAACCAGUACCGUGAGGGAAAGGCGAAAAGAACCCCGGCGAGGGGAGUGAAAAAGAACCUGAAACCGUGUACGUACAAGCAGUGGGAGCACGCUUAGGCGUGUGACUGCGUACCUUUUGUAUAAUGGGUCAGCGACUUAUAUUCUGUAGCAAGGUUAACCGAAUAGGGGAGCCGAAGGGAAACCGAGUCUUAACUGGGCGUUAAGUUGCAGGGUAUAGACCCGAAACCCGGUGAUCUAGCCAUGGGCAGGUUGAAGGUUGGGUAACACUAACUGGAGGACCGAACCGACUAAUGUUGAAAAAUUAGCGGAUGACUUGUGGCUGGGGGUGAAAGGCCAAUCAAACCGGGAGAUAGCUGGUUCUCCCCGAAAGCUAUUUAGGUAGCGCCUCGUGAAUUCAUCUCCGGGGGUAGAGCACUGUUUCGGCAAGGGGGUCAUCCCGACUUACCAACCCGAUGCAAACUGCGAAUACCGGAGAAUGUUAUCACGGGAGACACACGGCGGGUGCUAACGUCCGUCGUGAAGAGGGAAACAACCCAGACCGCCAGCUAAGGUCCCAAAGUCAUGGUUAAGUGGGAAACGAUGUGGGAAGGCCCAGACAGCCAGGAUGUUGGCUUAGAAGCAGCCAUCAUUUAAAGAAAGCGUAAUAGCUCACUGGUCGAGUCGGCCUGCGCGGAAGAUGUAACGGGGCUAAACCAUGCACCGAAGCUGCGGCAGCGACGCUGAUGCGUUGUUGGGUAGGGGAGCGUUCUGUAAGCCUGCGAAGGUGUGCUGUGAGGCAUGCUGGAGGUAUCAGAAGUGCGAAUGCUGACAUAAGUAACGAUAAAGCGGGUGAAAAGCCCGCUCGCCGGAAGACCAAGGGUUCCUGUCCAACGUUAAUCGGGGCAGGGUGAGUCGACCCCUAAGGCGAGGCCGAAAGGCGUAGUCGAUGGGAAACAGGUUAAUAUUCCUGUACUUGGUGUUACUGCGAAGGGGGGACGGAGAAGGCUAUGUUGGCCGGGCGACGGUUGUCCCGGUUUAAGCGUGUAGGCUGGUUUUCCAGGCAAAUCCGGAAAAUCAAGGCUGAGGCGUGAUGACGAGGCACUACGGUGCUGAAGCAACAAAUGCCCUGCUUCCAGGAAAAGCCUCUAAGCAUCAGGUAACAUCAAAUCGUACCCCAAACCGACACAGGUGGUCAGGUAGAGAAUACCAAGGCGCUUGAGAGAACUCGGGUGAAGGAACUAGGCAAAAUGGUGCCGUAACUUCGGGAGAAGGCACGCUGAUAUGUAGGUGAGGUCCCUCGCGGAUGGAGCUGAAAUCAGUCGAAGAUACCAGCUGGCUGCAACUGUUUAUUAAAAACACAGCACUGUGCAAACACGAAAGUGGACGUAUACGGUGUGACGCCUGCCCGGUGCCGGAAGGUUAAUUGAUGGGGUUAGCGCAAGCGAAGCUCUUGAUCGAAGCCCCGGUAAACGGCGGCCGUAACUAUAACGGUCCUAAGGUAGCGAAAUUCCUUGUCGGGUAAGUUCCGACCUGCACGAAUGGCGUAAUGAUGGCCAGGCUGUCUCCACCCGAGACUCAGUGAAAUUGAACUCGCUGUGAAGAUGCAGUGUACCCGCGGCAAGACGGAAAGACCCCGUGAACCUUUACUAUAGCUUGACACUGAACAUUGAGCCUUGAUGUGUAGGAUAGGUGGGAGGCUUAGAAGUGUGGACGCCAGUCUGCAUGGAGCCGACCUUGAAAUACCACCCUUUAAUGUUUGAUGUUCUAACGUUGACCCGUAAUCCGGGUUGCGGACAGUGUCUGGUGGGUAGUUUGACUGGGGCGGUCUCCUCCUAAAGAGUAACGGAGGAGCACGAAGGUUGGCUAAUCCUGGUCGGACAUCAGGAGGUUAGUGCAAUGGCAUAAGCCAGCUUGACUGCGAGCGUGACGGCGCGAGCAGGUGCGAAAGCAGGUCAUAGUGAUCCGGUGGUUCUGAAUGGAAGGGCCAUCGCUCAACGGAUAAAAGGUACUCCGGGGAUAACAGGCUGAUACCGCCCAAGAGUUCAUAUCGACGGCGGUGUUUGGCACCUCGAUGUCGGCUCAUCACAUCCUGGGGCUGAAGUAGGUCCCAAGGGUAUGGCUGUUCGCCAUUUAAAGUGGUACGCGAGCUGGGUUUAGAACGUCGUGAGACAGUUCGGUCCCUAUCUGCCGUGGGCGCUGGAGAACUGAGGGGGGCUGCUCCUAGUACGAGAGGACCGGAGUGGACGCAUCACUGGUGUUCGGGUUGUCAUGCCAAUGGCACUGCCCGGUAGCUAAAUGCGGAAGAGAUAAGUGCUGAAAGCAUCUAAGCACGAAACUUGCCCCGAGAUGAGUUCUCCCUGACUCCUUGAGAGUCCUGAAGGAACGUUGAAGACGACGACGUUGAUAGGCCGGGUGUGUAAGCGCAGCGAUGCAUUGAGCUAACCGGUACUAAUGAACCGUGAGGCUUAACCUUACAACGCCGAAGCUGUU